rnacentral:rRNA from 1 species
GACGGGGGGAGCAAGCGUUGUUCGGAAUCACUGGGCGUAAAGGGCGUCUAGGCGGACCGGUAAGUCAGAGGUGAAAGCUCUCGGCCUAACUGAGGAAUUGCCUUUGAAACUGUCGGUCUUGAGUGUGGGAGAGGUGCGGAGAAUUCCCGGUGUAGCGGUGAAAUGCGUAGAUAUCGGGAAGAAUGCCGGUGGCGAAGGCGCCGCACUGGCCUGACACUGACGCUGAAGCGCGAAAGCGUGGGGAG